rnacentral:rRNA from 1 species
CCCGCUGAACUUAAGCAUAUCAAUAAGCGGAGGAAAAGAAACUAACAAGGAUUCCCCUAGUAACUGCGAGUGAAGCGGGAAAAGCUCAAAUUUAAAAUCUGGCGGUCUCGCGGCCGUCCGAGUUGUAAUCUGGAGAAGCGUCUAUCCGCGUCGGACCGUGUACAAGUCUUCUGGAAGGGAGCGUCGUAGAGGGUGAGAAUCCCGUCUUUGACACGGACAACCGAUGCUUUUGCGAUGCGCUCUCGAAGAGUCGAGUUGUUUGGGAAUGCAGCUCAAAAUGGGUGGUAAAUUCCAUCUAAAGCUAAAUAUUGGCGAGAGACCGAUAGCGAACAAGUACCGUGAGGGAAAGAUGAAAAGAACUUUGGAAAGAGAGUUAAACAGUACGUGAAAUUGCUGAAAGGGAAACGCUUGAAGUCAGUCGCGUUGGCCAGGGAUCAACCCUUGCUUUUGCUUGGUGUACUUUCUGGUUGACGGGUCAGCAUCAAUUUUGACUGUUGGAAAAAGAUUGAGGGAAUGUGGCAUCUUUGGAUGUGUUAUAGCCCUUAGUUGCAUACAAUGGUUGGGAUUGAGGAACUCAGCACGCCGCAAGGCCGGGUUUUUAACCACGUACGUGCUUAGGAUGCUGGCAUAAUGGCUUUAAUCGACCCGUCUUGAAACACGG